GAUACUUGAAGGCAGAGAUUACCCUCUGACUUCUCAGGUUCACCAUUCAGCUUCCGAGUAGAGAAGACCACAACAGGCAAGAAUUUCUGACAUGAUGGGGGACAAGCCGAAGAAGUCAGUCUUCGGGGCGUGUUUUUAAUCCAGGAGGUGACUUGAGAUGGAUUAAUGGCAAAUCACAAUACAUUAUUUAUCAGA